GGACCACUAUCUGAUCAUUUUUCAGCCAGAAGAAAAGGCAGCACAUGGGAUCUAGGCUCUAGGUGCUCAAUACCCGUGUGAAUCAAGAAUGCUUUCUGCAGGAAGUAAUAGAUUACCAGACUAACCACAAAGCAGAGUCCUCAGGUUCUUUAUCAUCUGAUUUACAAAGAAGUCUGGAGGUGGGUGGUUUUCAGGUAGGUCCAGUAGCCCAAUGAUAUCUUUGAAGACUUAGGAUCUUUUUCUGUCUUUUGCCUCUAUUCAUCCUUAACUGCUUCAUUUGCAUCCUCAUGCUGUUACCUCAGGUCUUCAAAAUGGCUGCUGAAACUCCAGAUACUUACUCAUCUACAUCCGAGGCAAGAAGGAAGGGGAAAGGGAAACACCAACAGCUCUCCUUCGAUGCAGGAAGAUAAUGAUAAGAGAGAGGGUCAGUGAUCUGCUCUGUUGCCAAACUCCCAAAUGCAGAACACUGGUCAUUUUAAGGCAAUGUUGCAAGUGUGGGAUUCCUGCUCUGCCCCAACAUAUUCACAGUGAACAAGCCAACUCCUGGAUGCUUGCAGCUGAUGGAACAGAACCUAAGAGGAGCAGACCUAGCCUCGCACUUCAUAGUAAUAAGGCUGAUUUCUGCAUUUGACUGUUGACUGUUACUCUGGGACAUGCCAGGCACUGCCCACCUUACAGAAUUCUGUUUGCUGCUGUGCCUGCUGGGACUUGGAGAAGAUUGAGAGUUUCCUACUGGCUGGUAAUGCCGCAAAAUAAAACAUCCUAUUGUGGGUGGGGAGAGACUCUG
rnacentral:lncRNA from 13 species